GACAGAGGAUGCAAGCGUUAUCCGGAAUGAUUGGGCGUAAGCGUCUGUAGGCGGCUUGGUAAGUCCGCUGUGAAAGUCCAGGGCUCAACCCUGGAAAGCCGGUGGAAACUGUCAAGCUUGAGUCCGGAAGAGGCGAAGUGGAAUUCCUGGUGUAGCGGUGAAAUGCGCAGAUAUCAAGGAAGAACACCCGUGGCGAAGGCGGCUCUCUGGGACGGUACUG
rnacentral:rRNA from 1 species